GCAGGCGCGAAACCUUAGCAAUGUGCGAAAGCACGACUGGGUCAGUCCGAGUGAUUCCUGCUAAAGGAAUCUUUUGCUUGUCCUAAAAGCACAGGUGAAUAAGGGGUGGGCAAGUCUGGUGUCAGCCGCCGCGGUAAUACCAGCACCUCGAGUGGUCAGGACGUUUAUUGGGCCUAAAGCAUCCGUAGCCGGCUCUGCAAGUCUUCGGCUAAAUCCACCUGCUCAACAGAUGGGCCGCUGGAGAUACUACAGAGCUAGGGAGUGGGAGAGGCAGACGGUAUUCAGUGGGUAGGGGUAAAAUCCUCUGAUCCAUCGAGGACCACCAGUGGCGAAGGCGGUCUGCCAGAACACGUUCGACGGUGAGGGAUGAAAGCUGGGGGAGCAAACCGGAUUAGAUACCCGGGUAGUCCCAGCUGUAAACGAUGCAAACUCGGUGAUGCGUUGGUUUAUGGCCAAUGCAGUGCCGCAGGGAAGCCGUUAAGUUUGCCGCCUGGGAAGUACGGACGCAAGUCUGAAACUUAAAGGAAUUGGCGGGGGAGCAC
rnacentral:rRNA from 1 species